rnacentral:snoRNA from 1 species
AAAAAAGCAGGGGCCUGUUGCCCAUGUGAACAGGUCUCUCGUAAACUUCAGGGAAAUCACCUUCAUUGUUAUUGGGUGAACCUCUGUUUUUCUGUUUGUGGCUGAAGGUUCAGUAAAUGAUGAUACAUUU